GACGAACGCUGGCGGCGUGCUUAACACAUGCCAGUCGAACGGAAAGGCCCUGCGUUUGUGGGGUGCUCGAGUGGCGAACGGGUGAGUAACACGUGAGUAACCUGCCCUUGACUUUGGGAUAACUUCAGGAAACUGGGGCUACUAACGGCUAGGAGCUCCUGCUGCAUGGUGGGGGUUGGAAAGUUUCGGCGGUUCGGGAUGGACUCGCGGCUUAUCAGCUUGUUGGUGGGGUAGUGGCUUACCAAGGCUUUGACGGGUAGCCGGCCUGAGAGGGUGACCGGCCACACUGGGACUGGGGUACGGCCCAGACUCCUACGGAACGCAGCGGUGGGGAGUAUUGCCCAAUGGGCGGAAGCCAGAUGCAGCAACGCCGCGUGCGGGAAGACUGCCUUCGGGUUGUAAACCGCGUUCGCCUGUGACGAAGCGUGAGUGACGGUAAUGGGUAAAGAAGCACCGGCUAACUACGUG
rnacentral:rRNA from 1 species